UGGCGGACGGGUGAGUAAUGCUUGGGAAUCUAGCUUAUGGAGGGGGAUAACUACGGGAAACUGUAGCUAAUACCGCGUAAUAUCGAAAGAUUAAAGUGUGGGACCUUCGGGCCACAUGCCAUAGGAUGAGCCCAAGUGGGAUUAGGUAGUUGGUGAGGUAAAGGCUCACCAAGCCGACGAUCAGUAGCCGGUCUGAGAGGAUGAACGGCCACACUGGAACUGAGACACGGUCCAG
rnacentral:rRNA from 1 species